AUGAUGGCAAGCCUGCAUCUUCUGCCAUACUUUUGGCAACUUCUUUUGAAAGUAUUUGCCUAUACAAAUCAGCAGCUCUAGAUGUAUACUUAGCCUCAAUUUUCCCGCCAUCAGUCCAUCCAUGUUGCUUGAAGAAAGACCUGUGCACGAUUGUUUCCCCCAAAGCUCAUCAUCCUCAAUUGCUCAUGACUCCAAGAAUCUAAAUUUGUAGACCUGACGAAACUGAUGUGUACUCCAAGGCUGCGAUGAACAGCGGAGCAAUCGAUGCAAAGGAAGAUCCCAUAAGUCACAGAUGCCCAUGUAGGGUUUUUGGCAUUGCAAUC
rnacentral:misc_RNA from 1 species